rnacentral:rRNA from 1 species
AGUGAACGCUGGCGGUAGGCCUAACACAUGCAAGUCGAACGGCAGCACAGUAAGAGCUUGCUCUUACGGGUGGCGAGUGGCGGACGGGUGAGGAAUACAUCGGAAGCUACUUUUUCGUGGGGGAUAACGUAGGGAAACUUACGCUAAUACCGCAUACGACCUACGGGUGAAAGCAGGGGAUCUUCGGACCUUGCGCGAUUGAAUGAGCCGAUGUCGGAUUAGCUAGUUGGCGGGGUAAAGGCCCACCAAGGCGACGAUCCGUAGCUGGUCUGAGAGGAUGAUCAGCCACACUGGAACUGAGACACGGUCCAGACUCCUACGGGAGGCAGCAGUGGGGAAUAUUGGACAAUGGGCGCAAGCCUGAUCCAGCCAUACCGCGUGGGUGAAGAAGGCCUUCGGGUUGUAAAGCCCUUUUGUUGGGGAGGAAAAGCAGCAGGUUAAUACCCCGCUGUUCUGACGGUACCCAAAGAAUAAGCACCGGCUAACUUCGUG